GUAUCGCCAAGCGGUAAGGCACCGGAUUCUGAUUCCGGCAUUCCGAGGUUCGAAUCCUCGUAC
rnacentral:tRNA from 6 species